CAGUAGCCGCGGUAAUACGAAGGGUGCAAGCGUUACUUGGAAUUACUGGGCGUAAAGCGUGCGUAGGUGGUGGUUUAAGUCCGUUGUGAAAGCCCUGGGCUCAACCUGGGAAUUGCAGUGGAUACUGGGUCACUAGAGUGUGGUAGAGGAUAGUGGAAUUUCCGGUGUAGCAGUGAAAUGCGUAGAGAUCGGAAGGAACAUCUGUGGCGAAGGCGACUAUCUGGGCCAACACUGACACUGAGGCACGAAAGCGUGGGGAGCAAACAGGAUUAGAUACCCGCGUAGUCCCUGUCUCUUAUAC
rnacentral:rRNA from 1 species